UUGCAGAAAUGGGAGUUCCUUGCAGUCCAAAGCGCCGAGCGAGAAGUAUACAGGCAAAUUCUGUUUUGGACUGAAGGGAGCUCCUAGUUCUUCGCUU
rnacentral:pre_miRNA from 1 species